rnacentral:rRNA from 1 species
CCUACGGGUGGCAGCAGUGGGGAAUAUUGCACAAUGGGCGCAAGCCUGAUGCAGCCAUGCCGCGUGUGUGAAGAAGGCCUUCGGGUUGUAAAGCACUUUCAGCGGGGAGGAAGGCGUUAAGGUUAAUAACCUUGGCGAUUGACGUUACCCGCAGAAGAAGCACCGGCUAACUCCGUGCCAGCAGCCGCGGUAAUACGGAGGGUGCAAGCGUUAAUCGGAAUUACUGGGCGUAAAGCGCACGCAGGCGGUCUGUCAAGUCGGAUGUGAAAUCCCCGGGCUCAACCUGGGAACUGCAUUCGAAACUGGCAGGCUAGAGUCUUGUAGAGGGGAGUAGAAUUCCAGGUGUAGCGGUGAAAUGCGUAGAGAUCUGGAGGAAUACCGGUGGCGAAGGCGGCCCCCUGGACAAAGACUGACGCUCAGGUGCGAAAGCGUGGGGAGCAAACAGGAUUAGAUACCCCAGUAGUC